GGAGACAAGUUACGUGAGUUGUAUUUUGGGAAGAGUUAAUCACUUACCUACAAUACCAUGGAUUCCAAAUAUUAUUGAUGGAAUGCAGAACUGUUGCAAAAGUGUCACCAUGCAAAAUAUGCAAAAUAAUUUUUCACCAGUGUCAUGUUUUCACAUUCAUUUUAAACAUUGAGUUGUAUUUGAAGAACCAUGAAAAAUUAAGACGUGAAUUUUUCAAAACCUGUCAUGAAAGUGAAGAUGGAUGUCUGAAAUAUAAAGACUUGUAACAGAAUAUUGAAGAACUCCUUAGAAGACCUUAACUUCUUAGCAACCCUUAACUGUAUUCCAACAGUUAUAGAAAAGAACUGGAAUGCAAUCUACUCUUAAUAACACUAAGGAAGCCACAGUUUCCUCAAAGGUCUAAACACAAAUAGCUAUUUUUUUGAUUAAACUGCCAUUUUGAAAGUGACAUUUCAAGUAUAUAGGAUGCAGGUUCCCAAGAGCUGCAGAGUCAUGCCUAUGAAGCACAGGUUUCAGCUGGCUCCAAAAUGGGCACGCCUCAGGGGACAGCUGAGCCCCUCAGCCAGAGUGGUGAUACAUCUGAGGAAAGAUAUUUAAGAAAACCAUAAAGCAAUGAGAGGUGUGAAGAAAAAAUGUGAGAAACAUCCCUGCAAACACCAAGGUGAGGGAAGAAAGAGGGGAAGGAGGUGGUCUAUGUGCUGGAGCAGAGAUUGCCCUGCAGCCCUUGGAGAGACCACACAGGAACAGGUAUAUGCUGAAAGACUGCAGUUUGUGGACAGAAUCCAUGUUGGAGAAGUGAGAGAAGGAAGGACUAGCAGCAGAGAGAAGAUCUAAUGGAAUGAUCACAGCUCCACAGCUCCUCAUAAGCCAAUCAGAGGAUCAGAGAGGAGUCAGGCAUGAAGUAAUGAAGCUGAGUAUGAGAAGUGGAGAGAAUCUGUUCUAGGAUUUGGUCUUGUUUCUCACUGUAUAAAUACAUUUUAAUCAGCAAUAAAUUACAUUGAUUUUCACUGA